rnacentral:rRNA from 1 species
GAUGAACGCUGGCGGCGUGCCUAAUACAUGCAAGUCGAGCGAACAGAUGAGGAGCUUGCUCCUCUGACGUUAGCGGCGGACGGGUGAGUAACACGUGGAUAACCUACCUAUAAGACUGGGAUAACUUCGGGAAACCGGAGCUAAUACCGGAUAAUAUAUUGAACCGCAUGGUUCAAUAGUGAAAGACGGUUUUGCUGUCACUUAUAGAUGGAUCCGCGCCGCAUUAGCUAGUUGGUAAGGUAACGGCUUACCAAGGCAACGAUGCGUAGCCGACCUGAGAGGGUGAUCGACCACAAUGGAACUGAGACACGGUCCAGACUCCUACGGGAGGCAGCAGUAGGGAAUCUUCCGCAAUGGGCGAAAGCCUGACGGAGCAACGCCGCGUGAGUGAUGAAGGUCUUCGGAUCGUAAAACUCUGUUAUUAGGGAAGAACAAAUGUGUAAGUAACUAUGCACGUCUUGACGGUACCUAAUCAGAAAGCCACGGCUAACUACGUG